GACGAACGCUGGCGGCGUGCUUAACACAUGCAAGUCGAACGAAGUGGCGAACGGGUGAGUAACGCGUAAUCAACUUGCCCUUCAGAGGGGGACAACAGUUGGAAACGAAUGCUAAUACUGAAUACUGAAGGAGGGGAAUGCGUCUGAUUAGCUAGCUGGAGGGGGAACGGCCCACCAAGGCGGUGAUCAGUAGCCUGUCUGAGGAGAUGAACGGCCACAUUGGGACUGGGGCACGGCCCAGGCUCCUACGGGAGGCAGCAGUGGGGAAUCUUCCGAAAUGGACGAAAGUCUGACGGAGCAACGCCGCGUGAGUGAUGACGGCCUUCGGGGUGUAAAGCUCUGUUAAUCGGGACGCGGUACCGGAAUAGAAAGCCACGGCUAACUACGUGCCAGCAGCCGCGGUAAUAC
rnacentral:rRNA from 1 species